rnacentral:rRNA from 1 species
UACGUAGGGUGCGAGCGUUGUCCGGAAUUAUUGGGCGUAAGAGCAGCUGUAGGCGGUGUGUCACGUCGGCCGUGAAAACCUGCAGCUUAACUGUGGGCGUGCGGUCGAUACGGGCAUCACUGGAGUUCGGCAGGGGAGGACUGGAAUUCCUGGUGGUAGCGGUGAAAUGCGCAGAUAUCAGGAGGAACACCGGUGGCGAAGGCGGGUCUCUGGGCCGAUACUGACGCUGGAGGAGCGAAAGCGUGGGGAGCAAACAGG